UACGAAGGGGGCUAGCGUUGCUCGGAAUCACUGGGCGUAAAGGGCGCGUAGGCGGAUCUUUUAAGUCGGGGGUGAAAGCCCAGGGCUCAACCCUGGAAUGGCCUUCGAUACUGGAGAUCUUGAGACCGGAAGAGGUAAGUGGAACUGCGAGUGUAGAGGUGAAAUUCGUAGAUAAUUCGCAAGAACACCAGUGGCGAAGGCGGCUUACUGGUCCGGGUUCUGACGCUGAGGCGCGGAAAGCGUGGGGAGCAAACAGGGAUUAAGAA
rnacentral:rRNA from 1 species